UCGCGAAACCUUCACACUGGGGGAAACCCUGAUGAGGGAAUUCCUAGUGCCUGCAUUUUUUGUAGGCUUUUAUCUAGUGUAGAUAGCUAGAAGAAUAAGGGCCGGGUAAGACGGGUGCCAGCCGCCGCGGUAAUACCCGCGGCCCAAGUGGUGGUCGAUAUUAUUGAGUCUAAAACGUCCGUAGCCGGUUCAGUAAAUCUUUGGGUAAAUCGGCCAGCUUAACUGACCGAAUUCCGAAGAGACUGCUGAACUUGGGACCGGGAGAGGCCAGAGGUACUUCUGGGGUAGGGGUAAAAUCCUGUAAUCCUAGAAGGACCACCGGUGGCGAAGGCGUCUGGCUAGAACGGAUCCGACGGUGAGGGACGAAGCCCUGGGGCGCAAACGGGAUUAGAUACCCCGGUAGUCCAGGGUGUAAACGCUGCAGGCUUGGUGUUGGGGGUCCUUCGGGGGCGCCCAGUGCCGGAGAGAAGUUGUUAAGCCUGCUACUUGGGGAGUACGUCCGCAAGGAUGAAACUUAAAGGAAUUGGCGGGGGAGCACCGCAACGGGAGGAGCGUGCGGUUUAAUUGGAUUCAACACCGGAAAACUCACCAGGAGCGACGGUUACAUGAAAGUCAGGCUGAUGACCUUACUAGAUUUUCC
rnacentral:rRNA from 1 species